ACACCAGCGCCACAAGUGGUGACCACAUUUAUUGGGCUUAAAGCAUCCGUAGCUGGAUAAUUAAGUUUCUAGUGAAACUUAGCAGCUCAACUGUUAAGCGUGCUAGAAAUACUGAUUAUCUAGAGACCGGGAGGAGUCAGGAGUAUUCCUAGGGUAGCGGUAAAAUGUUAUAAUCCUAGGAGGACUAUCAGUGGCGAAGGCGCCUGACUAGAACGGGUCUGACGGUGAGGGAUGAAAGCUAGGGGAGCAAACAGGAUUAGAUACCCUGGUAGUCCUAGCUGUAAACGCUGCUCGCUUGGUGUUGUAUGUUCUUAGGAAUAUGCAGCACCGUAGAGAAAUCGUUAAGCGAGCCGCCUGGGAAUUACGGUCGCAAGGCUGAAACUUAAAGGAAUU
rnacentral:rRNA from 1 species